AGUGAACGCUGGCGGUAGACCUAACACAUGCAAGUCGAACGGCAGCACAGUAAGAGCUUGCUCUUACGGGUGGCGAGUGGCGGACGGGUGAGGAAUACAUCGGAAUCUACUUUUUCGUGGGGGAUAACGUAGGGAAACUUACGCUAAUACCGCAUACGACCUACGGGUGAAAGCAGGGGAUCUUCGGACCUUGCGCGAUUGAAUGAGCCGAUGUCGGAUUAGCUAGUUGGCGGGGUAAAGGCCCACCAAGGCGACGAUCCGUAGCUGGUCUGAGAGGAUGAUCAGCCACACUGGAACUGAGACACGGUCCAGCCUCCUACGGGAGGCAGCAGUGGGGAAUAUUGGACAAUGGGCGCAAGCCUGAUCCAGCCAUACCGCGUGGGUGAAGAAGGCCUUCGGGUUGUAAAGCCCUUUUGUUGGGAAAGAAAAGCAGCAGGUUAAUACCCCGCUGUUCUGACGGUACCCAAAGAAUAAGCACCGGCUAACUUCGUG
rnacentral:rRNA from 1 species